CCUACGGGAGGCAGCAGUGGGGAAUAUUGGGCAAUGGAGGCAACUCUGACCCAGCAACGCCGCGUGAAGGAAGAAGGCCUUAGGGUUGUAAACUUAUGUUGUAAAGGAAGAAAAGAAUGACGGUACUUUACAAGAAAGUCCCGGCUAACUAUGUGCCAGCAGCCGCGGUAAGACAUAGGGGGCGAGCGUUGUUUGGAAUUACUGGGCGUAAAGGGAGCGUAGGCGGGAGUUCAAGUUAAGAGUGAAAGCCUUGGGCUCAACCCAAGAAAUGCUCUUAAUACUGGUAUUAUGGAGUGUGGGAGAGGUUAGUGGAAUUCCUGGUGUAGGAGUAAAAUGCGUAGAGAUCAGGAGGAACAUCAGAGGCGAAGGCGACUUACUGGAACAUAACUGACGCUGAGGAUCGAAAGCGUGGGGAGCAAACAGGAUUAGAUACCCCUGUAGUC
rnacentral:rRNA from 1 species